GAUGAAGAACGUAGCGAAAUGCGAUACUUGGUGUGAAUUGCAGAAUCCCGUGAACCAUCGAGUCUUUGAACGCAAGUUGCGCCCGAAGCCAUCAGAUUGAGGGUACGUCUGCCUGGGCGUCACAUAUCGUUGCUCGAUGCCUAUCGCAUUGCGAUAGGACUUAAUGCGAAUGAUGGCUUCCCGUGAGCGUUGUUGCCUCGCGGUUGGUUGAAAAUCGAGUCCUUGGUAGGGUGUGCCAUGAUAGAUGGUGGUUGAGUGACGAACGAGACCCAAUCAUGUGAGACCCCUACCGAAUUUGGCCUUCAUGACCCACAUGCGUCUUUGGAACGCUCAUGACGAGACCUCAGGUCAGGCGGGGCUACCCGCUGAGUUUAAGCAUAUCAAUAAGCGGAGGA
rnacentral:misc_RNA from 1 species